rnacentral:rRNA from 1 species
UACGUAGGGUGCAAGCGUUGUCCGGAAUUAUUGGGCGUAAAGAGCUCGUAGGCGGUCUGUCGCGUCUGGUGUGAAAAUCCAGGGCUUAACCCUGGACCUGCAUCGGGUACGGGCAGACUAGAGUGCGGUAGGGGAGAUCGGAAUUCCUGGUGUAGCGGUGAAAUGCGCAGAUAUCAGGAGGAACACCGGUGGCGAAGGCGGAUCUCUGGGACGUAACUGACGCUGAGGAGCGAAAGCAUGGGGAGCGAACAGG